rnacentral:rRNA from 1 species
GAUGAACGCUGGCGGCGUGCCUAAUACAUGCAAGUCGAGCGAACGGACGAGAAGCUUGCUUCUCUGAUGUUAGCGGCGGACGGGUGAGUAACACGUGGAUAACCUACCUAUAAGACUGGGAUAACUUCGGGAAACCGGAGCUAAUACCGGAUGAUAUUUUGAACCGCAUGGUUCAAAAGUGAAAGACGGUCUUGCUGUCACUUAUAGAUGGAUCCGCGCUGCAUUAGCUAGUUGGUAAGGUAACGGCUUACCAAGGCAACGAUGCAUAGCCGACCUGAGAGGGUGAUCGGCCACACUGGAACUGAGACACGGUCCAGACUCCUACGGGAGGCAGCAGUAGGGAAUCUUCCGAAAUGGGCGAAAGCCUGACGGAGCAACGCCGCGUGAGUGAUGAAGGUCUUCGGAUCGUAAAACUCUGUUAUUAGGGAAGAACAUAUGUGUAAGUAACUGUGCACAUCUUGACGGUACCGAAUCAGAAAGCCACGGCUAACUACGU